rnacentral:rRNA from 1 species
UACAGAGGUCCCAAGCGUUGUUCGGAUUCACUGGGCGUAAAGGGUGCGUAGGCGGUCGGGUAAGUCUGAUGUGAAAUCUCACAGCUUAACUGUGAAACUGCAUUGGAUACUAUCCGGCUCGAGGAAUGGAGGGGAGACUGGAAUACUUGGUGUAGCAGUGAAAUGCGUAGAUAUCAAGUGGAACACCAGUGGCGAAGGCGAGUCUCUGGACAUUUCCUGACGCUGAGGCACGGAAGCCAGGGGAGCAAACGGG